rnacentral:rRNA from 1 species
GAUGAACGCUAGCGGCAGGCUUAAUACAUGCAAGUCGUGGGGCAGCGCAGGUAGCAAUACUGGGCGGCGACCGGCAAACGGGUGCGGAACACGUACACAACCUUCCGAGAAGUGGGGAAUAGCCCAGAGAAAUUUGGAUUAAUACCCCGUAACAUAACGAUGUGGCAUCACAUUGUUAUUAUAGCUUCGGCGCUUCUUGAUGGGUGUGCGGCUGAUUAGAUAGUUGGCGGGGUAACGGCCCACCAAGUCUACGAUCAGUAGCUGAUGUGAGAGCAUGAUCAGCCACACGGGCACUGAGACACGGGCCCGACUCCUACGGGAGGCAGCAGUAAGGAAUAUUGGUCAAUGGACGCAAGUCUGAACCAGCCAUGCCGCGUGAAGGAUUAAGGUCCUCUGGAUUGUAAACUUCUUUUAUCUGGGACGAAAAAAGGCGAUUCUUCGUCACUUGACGGUACCAGAUGAAUAAGCACCGGCUAACUCCGUGCCAGCAGCCGCAGUAAAAC